UACGGAGGGGGCUAGCGUUGUUCGGAAUUACUGGGCGUAAAGCGCGCGUAGGCGGCUUUGUAAGUUAGAGGUGAAAGCCCGGAGCUUAACUCCGGAACUGCCUUUAAGACUGCAUCGCUAGAAUCGUGGAGAGGUGAGUGGAAUUCCGAGUGUAGAGGUGAAAUUCGUAGAUAUUCGGAGGAACACCAGUGGCGAAGGCGACUGCCUGGACAAAGACUGACGCUGAGGUGCGAAAGCGUGGGGAGCAAACAGG
rnacentral:rRNA from 1 species